GAUGAACGCUGGCGGCGUGCCUAAUACAUGCAAGUCGAGCGAACGGACGAGAAGCUUGCUUCUCUGAUGUUAGCGGCGGACGGGUGAGUAACACGUGGAUAACCUACCUAUAAGACUGGGAUAACUUCGGGAAACCGUAGCUAAUACCGGAUAAUAUUUUGAACCGCAUGGUUCAAAAGUGAAAGACGGUCUUGCUGUCACUUAUAGAUGGAUCCGCGCUGCAUUAGCUAGUUGGUAAGGUAACGGCUUACCAAGGCAACGAUGCAUAGCCGACCUGAGAGGGUGAUCGGCCACACUGGAACUGAGACACGGUCCAGACUCCUACGGGAGGCAGCAGUAGGGAAUCUUCCGCAAUGGGCGAAAGCCUGACGGAGCAACGCCGCGUGAGAGAUGAAGGUCUUCGGAUCGUAAAACUCUGUUAUUAGGGAAGAACAUAUGUGUAAGUAACUGUGCACAUCUUGACGGUACCUAAUCAGAAAGCCACGGCUAACUACGUG
rnacentral:rRNA from 1 species